ensembl:lncRNA
GUGUGGUGUAUGGGGUCUGUGGGGUCACUGAGGCACAGAAUAUGGGAUCUGUGGGGAUACUGAGGCAGAGAAUAUGGGAUCUGUGAGGAAACUGAGCCACAGUGUAUGGGAUCUAUGGGGAAACUGAGGCACAGCAUAUGGGGUCAGUGGGGAAGGUGAGGCACAGAAUAUGGGGUCUGUGGGGUUACUGAGGCACAGCAUAUGGGAGCAGUGGGGAAACAGGCACAGAAUAUGGGAUCUAUGGGGGAACUGAGGCACAGAAUAUGGGAUCUGUGGGGAAACUGAGGGACAGAAUAUGGGAUCAGUGAGGAAACCGAGGCAUGGCAUAUGGGAUCUACGGGGGAAACUGAGGGACAGAAUAUGGGAUCAAUGGGGGAACUGAGGCACAGCAUAUAGGAUCUAUGGCGGAACUGAGGGACAAAAUAUGGGAUCUAUGGGGGGACUGAGGCACAGCAUAUAGGAUCUAUGGGGGAACUGAGCCACAGUGUAUGGGAUCAGUGGGGAAACUGAGGCACGGCAUAUGGGAUCAAUGGGGAAAGCGAAGUGCAACAUAUGGGAUCUAUGGGGAAACUGAGGUAUGGUGUAUGGGAUUUGUGGGGUCACUGAGGCACAGCAUAUGGGAUCUGUAGGGAUACUGAGGCAGAGAAUAUGGGAUCUGUGGGGAAGUUGAGGCACAGUAUAUGGGAUCAGUUGGGAAAGCGAAGUGCAACAUAUGGGAUCUGUGGGGGAAACUGAGGCACAGCAUAUGGGAUCAAUGGGGGAACUGAGGGACAGAAUAUGGGAUCAACGGGAGACUGAGGGACAAAAGAUGAGAUCUAUGGGGGAAACUGAGGCACAGCAUGUGGGAUCUAUGGGGAAACAGGCACAGAAUAUGGGAUUUAUGGGGAGCUGAGCCACUGUGUAUAGGAUCAGUGAGGAAACUGAGGCACAGCAUAUGGGAUCUAUGGGGAAACUGAGGGACAGCAUAUGGGAUCUAUGGGGGAACUGAGGGACAGAAUAUGGGAUCUGUAGGGAAACUGAGGGACGGCAUGUGGGAUCUAUGGGGGAACUGAGGCACAGCAUAUGGGAUCUGUGGGGGAAACUGAGGCACAGAAUAUGGGGUCAGUGGGGAAACAGGCACAGAAUAUGGGAUCUAUGGGGGAACUGAGGCACAGAAUAUGGGAUCUGUGGGGAACUGAGCCACAGCAUAUGGGAUCUAUGGGGGAACUGAGGGACAGAAUAUGAGAUCUAUGGGGGAAACUGAGGCACAGCGUAUG